rnacentral:tRNA from 1 species
GCCUGGGUGGCUCAGUCAGUUGAGCAUCUGACUUCGGCUCAGGUCAUGAUCUCACAGUUCGUGGGUUCGAGCCCCGCAUCAGGCU